rnacentral:lncRNA from 1 species
AAUAUAUAGAAUAGAACAUUCAUUACGAUAUUCGGUACUCGAGAUGAAUUUUUGUUUAUGUUUCGCUUCUUUAGUUAUGUUUAUGAAAAUAUAAAUUUCCAUAAACAUUUUCUGUUUAGUGAUAACAAAUGAUAAAAAACUUUUCCAUUGAAACUGUUGGUUAUACCAAUGUAUUAGAUAGAUAGACAAAUUUUGUCGAUUCUUGCAUUACAUGAAAUAAAAUAUGAUGGUGUUCAAUAGAAACUAAUUCUACAGAAUAACUACAGACGUCAUACUUCGAUAAUAUAUAAAAGGACGAUGGCUUUUUGAUUAUUUUAUGCCAAUAAUCGAAGUGGGGAAAUAUCAAAGAAUGAAAUCAUGUGUGUCGCUGUACGAGUUCAAAAAAGGUAGAGAGGGAUCAGUUAAGAAAUAGAUGGAAAGGAGUCGUAAAAUUAAAUUGUUAAUGCAAAGUAUGAGGUCACAUUUUUUAAAUAAUGGAAAAGUUCGAUGCAACUUAACUACGAUCGAUACUAAUACAACGAACAAUAAAACAUUAACACGAUGCAUUUUCUUAUGAAACUUAAUAUGACUGUAUAAUAAGCAAAUGUAGCCUAAAGCUACUGCAGCUACCCGAGGUUUAUUUCAAAGAAAAUUGAAACGAAGUAAGUAUGCAUAGUGUUUGAAGAAUAGUAUGAGAUGCAUUUGUUCCAUUCUCGUGUAAGACUGCAGAAAUGAGAAGUUGUGAACCCGACGGAAUUAAGCAUGAAACGAAAAUUUGCUUUAAAAAUCAAAUAUAUGAGUAUGGCAGUAAGGAAGAGGCAGGAAAACUAUAAACUUUUAUUGAUUGGAAGAAAUUAAGACAGGAAGGUACAUUAAACUGGUUAAUUCUUUCCCGUCCUUGAUGUUCAAUGUCUAACGAAGGAAAUUAUUCAUGAAGCGAGAUAAGAAGUAGUUAUGAAUUAAAACCAUGCGUGUGCGAUUUUAUUCCUGUGGAAGAAGUAUUAUAUGUAGAGACGAAUAGAAUGUCAGAGACGCAUGCGAUGAAUAAAUAUUAAAUCAUAUACUGCAAAAAUCAAAUAGUUUUGCCAUUCUAGAAAAAUAAUUUAUAAUCUGCUUAUCAUAUUAUACACUUCAACGCUAUUUAUAUAAAUUUACAAUCUUCACAAUCCACAAUUUCUUAUAAUACAAUAAAGUACAAAAUAUGUGCCAAUAAAAACGAAUAUAAACACAAAUGUGAUAUGUCAGUAUUAGGAAUGCAUUGUAUUCGAAGCAAAAAUCCUCUUCUAGCAGAACAGAAUAUAGCCAUUCAGUUUUACUGAGUCACUAACAAACGUUUCGUAAUGGAAACAAUCGGAAUUGGACGACGCUCAUGCAUAUCAUGCAUAUUCAGGACGUAGCGCGAUAAAAAUGACGAAACAUCCCCGGUUCGACGUUACUUAUAUUCCC